UACACCUCACCACUAGAUUCAGUCUAUUUUUUUUAAUGUUUGGUAUGGAGGCACGCUACCCAUGUGAAUCAAGUGAAUGAGGUUGACAGCUCAGUGGAGGACAUCAUGACAGAACAAACUGUGUCCAGCGCUAUUGCUCUAAAAAAAAAGAUGGACAACAUUGUCAAAGCCAAUGUUAAAAAAAAACAGGACAAGAGGCACAAGGUCCUGAAUCCAUCCAUUCUGUUGGUGGGGCAAAAGGUCCUGAGAAAAAAUAUCAGGACACAGCAGAGGAAAGGGGGAAAGCUGGAGCGCACCUGGCUUGGACCUUUUACAAUUACCAGCAUUGUCAAUAAAAGUGCAGACCUGGUUAAUGAGGUGGGGAAAGUAUUUCCAAAAAUCAACACCGACCAUCUAAAACCAUUCAUCGAACCACAACCCCGCAUUCCUCACAGAAUUCGUACACAACCUACAGAUGCACCACCAAACAAGAAAACACGUCUCAGCAGCUCAGAGCAAUCCCCUCCACACACCCAAAUCAUUUCACCAGAAGAUUCACAAUCACCAUCCCCUCCAACGACUCCUUUUGACCUUUCAGCUGCACCACCACACCACUGUGAUUCACCAAUAGACCUCACAACCAAACCACAACCACAACCUGUUCCAUUCACUCCCCUGUCACCAGUGGACCUUUCCCUUCCGAAAACAUCAUCACAUCUGUCACACCUGUCCCCCAGCCCCACUGCUGAAACCAGAUCCACUGAACUGGAGCCAGAACCAGUGCAGGACUCCCAAUCCUGAACUAGAGCCAGAGCAGGAGGACUGGAGGACACAGUCAUCCACAGCCGUAUCAAAAAUGCAUGGAGUGGCAAUGACAGCCAUGUACUAUUAUCAAAGGACAUACAACAGCUUGGGCCCGGGAAGGAGUUGGAGAGUGAGCUGGAUCCAACCAUGUACAACAUCAUAUUAGGGAUAGUAAAUGACUGCCAUCACUGGUUUCUUGUUGCUAUCUAUCCAUCUGAAAAAAAAAAACAUUAUUCUGGACUCCCUUGGAGAGUCAGACUUCAAAAUAACAAGGUGUUUGGAGACAACAAGAGCCCUGAUAAGAAAAAGGGGUGUGGCCUGUGGAGUGUUCGCUUUAAAAGUGUGUGACAGCAAAUACAUAUCACAUAUUUCGAUAUCAUAAAGUGGGUGAUGUGUGCAUUUGGGUUUAUUUUGUUACAUUUUCAGUUUGCAGAACACAUCCUGAAUGACACCCCAAUGUUGUUUUCUGCCAACAAACAUAAAAUUGACGAAAUAAGAAAGGAAGUGGCUGAAUACAUACUCUGUCAUUCCAGUAGGACUAUCACUCUUUAUAACUUGAUGUGUGUGUUGAUGUGUGCUUUUUAUGUGCAUCUCAAAUGUCCAUUGCAUGGCAAAUUCAUAGAUGACAAAAAUAUAUAAGAAGACCCAGCAGGGUUGAAACAUUGCCUUUGUACAUUAAAUAUGGGAGUCUAAAGCAAUGUUGCAGACAUUAUUUCUUUUUUUCACUGGAGUACGUUUUUUGUCCUGCACCUGCCAGAAGGUGGGAUGUGCACACAAUAACUUUCAUUUUUUAAAUUCAUAGAUGCCCCAAGCAACAUUUGUCACUACUGUGGGGAGGCAGACACCUUUGAUUGAUGAUUCUGAAGAAGUUGUCUGGAUAUCCUGUGAUUCCUGUGACAGAUGGUUUCACGUAGGAUGUGUGGGAAAUCCCUCAGUGGAGAACUAAUAUUCAUGCUAUGCAUGUGCUUAUUAACAAUAAAUGAUGUUGUUUGUUGAAUGUGUGCUAGCAUUUAUGGAGAAUGUUUUUUUCCCUCCCCAGUCAGUAUGUUUUGUGCAAAUAUUGUGAAAGCAGAAUAGAAAAGCAUUGUCCUUUCAUUACUUUCAUAACAUUUUAUUAGUCAAGCAUUGUUUUAUUCAGGGGAAAUUAAAAAUAACAAACGAAUAUACAUAACACAAUGUCUAGUUGUAUAGCCUAUAGAUUUGCAAUCACAGUGGAAAUUUCUUUCAAAUUCCAGCAGAACGAAAGAAAAUACAGUUUGAAACAUUUCGCUUGCCGUACAUCCAGUUGUCUUUUGACUUACGUUACUUCUGUGAGUACGUAAGGUAACCUAACAAUUACGCAAGACUUUUGAACGAAUUUGGUUGCAGCGGUGUGCAGACUUGGCCUUUUUUCCUGAAUAGUCCGUGUAUUGUUCGUUUUUCAAUAUAAAACCAAAAAGGUUACGUCUACGUUUUCAAACCAAAAUGAAAAAAAUGGA